rnacentral:rRNA from 1 species
GAUGAACGCUGGCGGCGUGCUUAACACAUGCAAGUCGAACGAGGAAUGUAGACGGACACCUUCGGGCGGAAGCCUUCAUUUCGAGUGGCGGACGGGUGAGUAACGCGUGGGUAACCUGCCUCAUACAGGGGGAUAACAGUUGGAAACGACUGUUAAUACCGCAUAAGACCACAGCAUCGCAUGAUGCGGGGGUAAAAACUCCGGUGGUAUGAGAUGGACCCGCGUUCGAUUAGCCAGUUGGCGGGGUAACGGCCCACCAAAGCGACGAUCGAUAGCCGAUCUGAGAGGAUGACCGGCCACAUUGGGACUGAGACACGGCCCAAACUCCUACGGGAGGCAGCAGUGGGGAAUAUUGCACAAUGGGGGAAACCCUGAUGCAGCGACGCCGCGUGAGUGAAGAAGUACUUCGGUAUGUAAAGCUCUAUCAGCAGGGAAGAAAAUGACGGUACCUGAGUAAGAAGCCCCGGCUAACUACGUG